AGUGAACGCUGGCGGUAGGCCUAACACAUGCAAGUCGAACGGCAGCACAGUAAGAGCUUGCUCUUACGGGUGGCGAGUGGCGGACGGGUGAGGAAUACAUCGGAAUCUACUUUUUCGUGGGGGAUAACGUAGGGAAACUUACGCUAAUACCGCAUACGACCUACGGGUGAAAGCAGGGGAUCUUCGGACCUUGCGCGAUUGAAUGAGCCGAUGUCGGAUUAGCUAGUUGGCGGGGCAAAGGCCCACCAAGGCGACGAUCCGUAGCUGGUCUGAGAGGAUGAUCAGCCACACUGGAACUGAGACACGAUCCAGACUCCUACGGGAGGCAGCAGUGGGGAAUAUUGGACAAUGGGCGCAAGCCUGAUCCAGCCAUACCGCGUGGGUGAAGAAGGCCUUCGGGUUGUAAAGCCCUUUUGUUGGGAAAGAAAAGCAGCAGGUUAAUACCCCGCUGUUCUGACGGUACCCAAAGAAUAAGCACCGGCUAACUUCGUG
rnacentral:rRNA from 1 species